AGCGAACGCUGGCGGCAGGCCUAACACAUGCAAGUCGAACGAACCUUUCGGGGUUAGUGGCGGACGGGUGAGUAACACGUGGGAACGUGCCUUUAGGUUCGGAAUAACUCAGGGAAACUUGUGCUAAUACCGAAUGUGCCCUUUGGGGGAAAGAUUUAUCGCCUUUAGAGCGGCCCGCGUCUGAUUAGCUAGUUGGUUGAGGUAAUGGCUCACCAAGGCGACGAUCAGUAGCUGGUCUGAGAGGAUGAUCAGCCACAUUGGGACUGAGACACGGCCCAAACUCCUACGGGAGGCAGCAGUGGGGAAUCUUGCGCAAUGGGCGAAAGCCUGACGCAGCCAUGCCGCGUGAAUGAUGAAGGUCUUAGGAUUGUAAAAUUCUUUCACCGGGGACGAUAAUGACGGUACCCGGAGAAGAAGCCCCGGCUAACUUCGUG
rnacentral:rRNA from 1 species